ACCCUCCCUCCCUCUCUCCAACCCUCCCCCCUCUCUCCCUCCAACUGUCCCUCCCUUUUAACUCCCUUCCCUCAAUCCAGUGUGGAAUCUGAGGUCAGGGGUCAUAUGCUUGUCACCAGGGUUCAGCCUAGAGGACUAUGGAAAGGGAAAGAUGAUGUCCCCUCAGAAACACAUUCCAUUCCAUUGAUUCCAUAGCUGGCCAUGCUGUCAUUGUGGUCUCAAACAUGAAUAGUAUAUUUCUAUGAUUUGGACCUCCUUGGGGUUAAAUCUGAACCAACAUUCAUGUACUGUAGUUUGGUGAUGGAUGCAGUAAAGUCUGUCAAAAGCGUAAAUGACAAAGAAAAUGUAAUGAAUGACUUCUACAGUAUGUUUGUAGAAAUAUUUCAGCCAAUGAAGUCAAAUACAUGCUUCUUUCUCAUUGAUCUUGACAUAUCCUGCCUGUAAUUAACUCACGUUGUAUCUGAAAUGACAAUAAAUCAAUGGUAACAUUGGUCAGCAGCAGGCUAGCAGCACAGAGGGCAGUGUAUUCAAACAAGUUCAUACCGGCUCUCCAGCAACCAAUCCUGGGGGAUGGUGGAUUACCCACCAUCCCCCAGGAUGGAAGGUUGGCGGUGGGCAUGGAUUACCCACCAUCCCCCAGGAUGGAAGGUUGGCGGUGGGCGUGGAUUACCCACCAUCCCCCAGGAUGGAAGGUUGGCGGUGGGCGUGGAUUACCCACCAUCCCCCAGGAUGGAAGGUUGGCGGUGGGCAUGGAUUACCCACCAUCCCCCAGGAUGGAAGGUUGGCGGUGGGCGUGGAUUACCCACCAUCCCCCAGGAUGGAAGGUUGGCGGUGGGCAUGGAUUACCCACCAUCCCCCAGGAUGGAAGGUUGGCGGUGGGCAUGGAUUACCCACCAUCCCCCAGGAUGGAAGGUUGGCGGUGGGCAUGGAUUACCCACCAUCCCCCAGGAUGGAAGGUUGGCGGUGGGCAUGGAUUACCCACCAUCCCCCAGGAUGGAAGGUUGGCGGUGGACAUGGAUUACCCACCAUCCCCCAGGAUGGAAGGUUGGCGGUGGGCAUGGAUCAUGACUGCAGCUUCAUUAGGUCUCCAGCUCCAUACUGCUGUGUGGAGCCAGAGAGAUGAGAGUCAGGCAGGGGAGAGUCACGGAGGGGAGGAGAGAGUGUUGUCUGCCUAGCUGCCAUGGAUGGAGCCCCAGGUGUAUCAGCCUGCCUGACAAUUAUGGAGGCAAUUAGGCCAGGUCACAUCUCCAGGCAACUGAAAAAUGAUCAUCAGUCAGCCAACCACUAAUUGGAUCAUUGUCUCUAAAGAAAAGAGAAAAAGAGGAGAGUCAGGGAAGUAGCGAAGCGCAUGCCCCGCCCACCUGAGGAUCUGUCUUUUUCAGCCAUCUACUGCCUGUGUUUGAGGGGUGUGAAAUCCACUUGUCACUUAAAUCUCGCUCGCUCGAUUGGUUUCAUUUUACUGCUGCGACUCUUUCAUACACUUGCUUGUGCCUUUUUCCCCCGAUAAAUUUAUGACCACGGAAAUGUUUGUAAUGACCCGGGUAACGGCUGUAAUGGGCUGAAUGGAAUACAUUGUCUUUCCGUUGCAUCUAUAAGAACACUAAAGCUGAGUGCAGGUGGGGUAGAGCAAGUGUUUGGUAGUUGCAGCCCUCUUCCACCCCUUUAUGUUAAUAUAUGCAAAUUCACCCAGUAUAUUUAUGCAAAUGGGGCACAUAUAUCAUUUUCUUUAUUUUAACACAAAAUGUUUAAAAAUAACUGAAACAAUAAUAAAAUGUAUGAGUGCAUUCUAAGAAAAAAAGAGAAAUUUGACAAUAAAGGGAAUACCUGAAUUCACACCAUU